rnacentral:rRNA from 1 species
GGGUUGUGAGGUUAAGCGACUAAGCGUACACGGUGGAUGCCCUGGCAGUCAGAGGCGAUGAAGGACGUGCUAAUCUGCGAUAAGCGCCGGUAAGGUGAUAUGAACCGUUAUAACCGGCGAUUUCCGAAUGGGGAAACCCAGUGUGAUUCGUCACACUAUCAUUAACUGAAUCCAUAGGUUAAUGAGGCGAACCGGGGGAACUGAAACAUCUAAGUACCCCGAGGAAAAGAAAUCAACCGAGAUUCCCCCAGUAGCGGCGAGCGAACGGGGAGGAGCCCAGAGCCUGAAUCAGCAUGUGUGUUAGUGGAAGCGUCUGGAAAGGCGCGCGAUACAGGGUGACAGCCCCGUACACAAAAGCGCAUGUGUUGUGAGCUCGAUGAGUAGGGCGGGACACGUGGUAUCCUGUCUGAAUAUGGGGGGACCAUCCUCCAAGGCUAAAUACUCCUGACUGACCGAUAGUGAACCAGUACCGUGAGGGAAAGGCGAAAAGAACCCCGGCGAGGGGAGUGAAAAAGAACCUGAAACCGUGUACGUACAAGCAGUGGGAGCACAGGUUUACCUGUGUGACUGCGUACCUUUUGUAUAAUGGGUCAGCGACUUAUAUUCUGUAGCAAGGUUAACCGUAUAGGGGAGCCGCAGGGAAACCGAGUCUUAACCGGGCGUUAAGUUGCAGGGUAUAGACCCGAAACCCGGUGAUCUAGCCAUGGGCAGGUUGAAGGUUGGGUAACACUAACUGGAGGACCGAACCGACUAAUGUUGAAAAAUUAGCGGAUGACCUGUGGCUGGGGGUGAAAGGCCAAUCAAACCGGGAGAUAGCUGGUUCUCCCCGAAAGCUAUUUAGGUAGCGCCUCGUGAAUUCAUCUCCGGGGGUAGAGCACUGUUUCGGCUAGGGGGCCAUCCCGGCUUACCAACCCGAUGCAAACUGCGAAUACCGGAGAAUGUUAUCACGGGAGACA